UAAAAAGCCAAUUGCACAGACGUUGAAAUGGCGGAUAUUCUUACCUUCUACGUACUCCAUGACCAUGCAGAGGUGCCGACGGGUUUCGAAGGAACAGAACAUGGACACAACAAAAGGAUUCUCUGCGAAGGUGACCCUCCUUGGCGUGGUCCUCUGCUGCCUCCAGCAGAUGGUAGAACUCCUCAGGAUUAAACUCCUGGAAACCAGAGCAUUAAGACCUUAACACAGUGUCAUCAGACACUCCAGCAGCCUGGCAGGUCGGGAGAUGAUGAUGAGAAGCUUCUUCGCCAACUCUGUGACAAAGGCUACCUCGGAGCUCUCUGAACGCUCAUAGCACUGACAGAGACAGACAGACAGACAGAGAGAGAGGAAGAAAGGGAGAAGAUUAAAACUGACAUUUAUAAAAAGACAGAGUGACAAAGGCAGAACAAAAAGCUCAAAAAUCGCUCUUAAAGGGGAACAUCUGGCUCUUUAGCUGCUAACGCUCCACAGCUGCCUGCUGCUGGAAAUACAGUUUAUGAGAGCAGUGAAAAUGAAUGGCCGUAAACCUAAACAAUGAGCUGAAAAGAUGGUGAAAUGCUUCGUUAAGAAGCUUCUCCAGAUUCUCCUGCAGCUCAAAGAAGUAUACAGAGGUGAUGAGGCCCUCGCGGGCUUUGGCCAGGCAGUCUCUGGACAGCUCAGCUAUCUGGUGGUGAAUGAAGCUGAGCACUCCAUCGGCCAGCGGAAGAAC